rnacentral:rRNA from 1 species
AUUGAACGCUGGCGGAAUGCUUUACACAUGCAAGUCGAACGGUAGAGGGGGCAACCCCUCGAGAGUGGCGAACGGGUGAGUAAUAUAUCGGAACGUGCCCCGUCGUGGGGGAUAACGUAGCUAAAGUUACGCUAAUACCUCCUACGAUCUAAGGAUGAAAGCGGGGGAUCGCAAGACCUCGCGCGAUUGGAGCGGCCGUUAUCAGAUUAGGUAGUGGGUGAGGUAAAGGCUCACCAAGCCAACGAUCUGUAGCUGGUCUGAGAGGACGACCACCCACACGGCAACUGAGACACGGACCAGACGCAUACGGGAGGCAGCAGGGGCGAAUUUUAGCCAAUGGACGCAAGUGUGACCCAGCCAUUCCGCGUGCAGAAUGAAGGCCCUCGGGUUGUAAACGGCUGUUGUACGGAACGAAAAGGUGUCUCUUAAUACGGGCGGCUCAUGACGGUACCGUAAGAAUAAGCACCGGCUAAAUACGUGCCAGCCGCCGCCGUAA